UCGAGAGGCUUCGGCAAUGGGGGAAACCCUGACCGAGCGACGCCGCGUGGAGGAUGAAGGCCCUUGGGUUGUAAACUCCUUUCGUGGGGGAAGAAUGUACCCGAGGCAAAUAAUCUCGAGUAUUGACGGUACCCCAAGAAGAAGCUCCGGCUAACUCCGUGCCAGCCGCCGCGGUAAUACGGGGGGAGCAAGCGUUGUUCGGAAUCACUGGGCGUAAAGGGAGUCUAGGCGGUUUGGUAAGUGGGAUGUGAAAUGCCCGGGCUCACCCCGGGACCUGCAUCCCAAACUGCUGAGCUUGAGUACAGGAGAGGGUGGGGGAAUUCCAGGUGUAGCGGUGAAGUGCGUAGAUAUCUGGAGGAACACCGGUGGCGAAGGCGCCCACCUGGCCUGCUACUGACGCUGAAGCUCGAAAGCUAGGGGAGCAAAC
rnacentral:rRNA from 1 species